GCUCGAAGUUGCAAGGAUGGUCACGUGUGUUUGCAUCCAAUCUGGGACAGGCAAGAUCGUGGGGACACUAAAUGAACGGAAAAAAGGUUAUCGAGGAUAUCUUGUCUUGCUCGGGUAAAUGGAAUGUCAGUCAGAGAAUACGAUGCAACGACGACAUCCGAUUCGACAGACAAAUAAAAUGAAUGAAAAGAUCAUAUGUACUGUAAGUCAACAAUACCUUGUGUGUGAAAGGAAGAAACUCCUUAUAAUAUACUCUCGGUGGCGGUGCCAGCUCCUGAUCCGAAAUCCAAAAUAGUUUCUGGUUUGAAAUCUUUGCAUCUUCUAGCGAUCUAAAAUCAUUCUCUUUCUUAUGUUGAUUGUGAAGUUUCUUGUACAGCUUCGUUUGUCUUUUCGCUCGAUGCUUCUUUCUUCUGUUCAUCCACAUGU